rnacentral:rRNA from 1 species
CAUGCAAGUCGUGGGGGGGUGCUGGGCAACCAGCGCCUCACCGGCGAACGGGUGCGUAACACGUGAGCAACCUACCGAGUUCUGGGGGAUAGCCGGCCCAACGGCCGGGUAAUACCGCAUACGCUUUUCUGGUGGAGUCACCGGGAAAGGAAACCUCCGGGGGAAUUCGAGGGGCUCGCGGCCUAUCAGCUAGUUGGCGGGGUAAUGGCCCACCAAGGCAGUGACGGGUAGCUGGUCUGAGAGGAUGGCCAGCCACAUUGGGACUGAGAGACGGCCCAGACUCCUACGGGAGGCAGCAGUGGGGAAUCUUGCGCAAUGGACGAAAGUCUGACGCAGCGACGCCGCGUGCGGGAGGAAGCUCUUCGGGGUGUAAACCGCUGUUGCCCGGAACGAAACGCCUUUUUCGAGAGGCUUGACGGUACCGGGUGAGGAAGCACCGGCUAACUCUGUGCCAGCAGCCGCGGUAAUACAGAGGGUGCGAGCGUUGUCCGGAAUCACUGGGCGUAAAGGGCGCGUAGGUGGCGGCAUAAGGCUGUGGUGAAAGUCUGGGGCUCAACUCCAGAUCGGCCGCGGCGACUGUGUCGCUUGGGCACUGUAGAGGCAGAUGGAAUUCCGGGUGUAGCGGUGGAAUGCGUAGAGAUCCGGAAGAACACCAGAGGCGAANGCGGUCUGCUGGGCAGUGAACCCGCGAGG